rnacentral:rRNA from 1 species
AACGAACGCUGGCGGCAGGCCUAACACAUGCAAGUCGAGCGCCCCGCAAGGGGAGCGGCGGACGGGUGAGUAACGCGUGGGAACGUACCCUUUGCUACGGAAUAGCCUCGGGAAACUGGGAGUAAUACCGUAUGUGUCCUUCGGGAGAAAGAUUUAUCGGCAAGGGAUCGGCCCGCGUUGGAUUAGGUAGUUGGUGGGGUAAUGGCCUACCAAGCCGACGAUCCAUAGCUGGUUUGAGAGGAUGAUCAGCCACACUGGGACUGAGACACGGCCCAGACUCCUACGGGAGGCAGCAGUGGGGAAUCUUAGACAAUGGGCGCAAGCCUGAUCGAGCCAUGCCGCGUGAGCGAUGAAGGCCUUAGGGUUGUAAAGCGCUUUCAGGGGGGAAGAUAAUGACUGUACCCCCAGAAGAAGCCCCGGCUAACUCCGUG